GACGAACGCUGGCGGCGUGCUUAACACAUGCAAGUCGAACGAAGUGGCGAACGGGUGAGUAACGCGUAAUCACCCUGCCCUUCAGUGGGGUACAACAGUUGGAAACGACUGCUAAUACCACAUACUGAAGGAGGGACUUGCGUCUGAUUCGCUAGUUGGAGGGGUAACGGCCUACCAAGGCGAUGAUCGGUAGCCGGUCUGAGAGGAGGACCGGCCAAAUUGGGACUGAGACACGGCCCAGACUACUACGGGAGGCAGCAGUGGGGAAUUUUCCGCAAUGGAAGAAAGGCUGACGGAGCAACGCCGGGUGAGUGAUGACGGCCUUCGGGUUGGAAAGCUCUGUUAAUCGGGACGCGGUACCGGAAUAGAAAGCCACGGCUAACUACGUGCCAGUAGCCGCGGUAAUAC
rnacentral:rRNA from 1 species